UAUCGAAGUUUUAUUAUUUAGUGAAUAAUGAAAGAGAUCAUAUUGUGCGAGGAGAACUAGGGACAGUGAGGAAUUAGGGUAUGAGGAGAAUGAGCUACUGCCAUCAGUGCAUGAAGAAAUGUUGAUCAGCUCAAAUGGACAGCUGGCAAGCAAUCCGCUAAUCCAGGGACUGAGAAAGAGCAAAAGGGAGAGGGCUACUAAUAGCUGGCUAAGGGACUUUGUCCGUUAGCUUUGUGGUACUUGGGGGAAAAGGGCUCAUCAUGUCUCAUUCAGAUAUUCUCACAUCUCAUUCUUCGUUCAUCAUUUUCUAUUAUAGUAUACGUCAUUGAAUUCCACCGUAUUGAUUUCAUGCACACGUACUUUCCUUUGGUAUUGGCACUAUACUAUACUACAGUUAGCCCUUUUAUACGUUAUUUAUAAAUCCCCACAUUGCACCCUUCCAUAUUGUAAACUUCCUUACUGUUUUAAGGGUAGUGAUAUAAAAUAGAAAUAGUUGAUUGGAAACUCUUCAAAGAAAUUAAAAUCAUAUAAAAACAAGCAACAUAAGCCACAUUUUUCUUUAUGCAUUUUAAGUGAUCUAUGUUCCAAACAGUCAAACACUACACAGUAUGUUCAAAACUCUAGCACACAGAGAAACAUGAAUGCUAAUAUAACAGUCAGAAAUGCACAUAUAUUCAAUUUUUAUCAUUCAUUAUGCAAGCAUAUAUAUGGGAUCCAUGUUCACAGCUUUGAAUGUGUGCAUUUAAGGAUAGGGGAGAUAGAAUGAGAAACCUUGAAGGACGGAUUUAACAGCUGCAUUAGGAACAAGAACGCCAACUAUAUGCUGGUUAUCAGCAGAAGUCUCAAUGCGAACAACACGUAGCCUCCUAUGGUUUCGGCGCAACUGUACAGAUUUAAAUCUGUAGAUGAGUAUUUCUUUUACAUAAGCAUAUGUAGAUUUAGAGAUGUAAAUUCUGAUGUAGAGUCCAAAAAGGCAUCAUAGCAGUUACAUGUAACAUCAAGAAAAAAAUUUUAGCAAUGCUCUCCAUAGAUUCAAAAACCACUGCCUCACAUGAUCAAACUCUUGUGGUGGAAGAAGGAACUUGUUCACAGUUGAAAAGUUUCUAUGCUAAAUGCCAUUGGCUACUAUUUCCAUACUGCAAAGCUCACCAUUUACUUACCAGCUUAGAAAGGGCCUAUUUAAUCAUUGAACCAAAGAGAUUUAUUACAUACUGGUUAAAUACCUGAUUA